CUCUUCUGAUCUGGGGGUUCAGGGUACAUUUUGUACUCAAAGGAGUGCCUAGAUUCAAGCAUGGAGGUCCAAGUGUACAAAUAAUUUUGUUAAAAGGUUGACAAUAUAAAAAAUUUAGCAUGUAAGAGGACAAGGUUUCCAGAGUGUCUACGUAGAAAAGAUGGAAGAAGAAGUGAGGCAGUGCAGAGAGCUAUAUAAAAACAAAAGUAAAGGGGAGGAGAGGUGAGAUGGAAAGGGAUUCUGUGACCAAGUUUAAGGGUUAAAAGCACACUUUGGUCUGGCCAAAAAACAUCCUCACUUUUGGUACAGGGGUUUUGAUAGUGUCACAGGGAGUAUAAGGGCCCUAGAUUUCAUCUUCCUUUGUCUCAGAGAGUAGAGAUAGUUUUU